rnacentral:lncRNA from 1 species
UCAGUUGAAUGGCUUGUUCAUUACAUGAUUUUAAUCAAGUAUCUUACCCUCUCUGUAUCUGUAAAAUGUGGACAGGUAAAUGGGAUUUGCAUAUAAAACCUUUCUAUAUGAUCAAAAGCAAUAUGAAAAUGUAACAUUUUUUAUUCUUAUCACUUUUUUUCCCACGAAAGAUAAUAAUACUUGUAUCUGCACAGCAACUUACUUGAGAUAUGCACAGAGUGAACCAUCUAGGUAUGCCCAUUUUUCAAGGAAGAAACUGCAGUUGGAAAACAAGGGAGAUCAGGUCUCUCUGGUCAAUCUUUCAGCAAUUUUUUACUGCAUGUGACUCUGUGCCAGGUCCUUUUCUAAGUGCUAGGAACAGGUUGAAGAAGACUGUGCCCUACUUACCACAACUGAGGAGCUACAUAAGGUUUUGGAGCUAUUAAAAAAAAAUUAGUCCUAAUUUUUUGACUCAAGGUGCUCAUAGCACAUUGGGAAAGAAAGGUUGAUGUACAACCAGAUAGUUGUGACUGAUUUGAACAAAUUUAUAGGAAAAGUGUUCAGAACUGACGACAUUAUAUUUCUCUUAUUUUUCAUAUUCUUGGCCAAAGUCUCAUUUGCUUCAAUUUGCCGAAAGAUCAAAUACUCUCCUGAGUCCUUCUUUUCUCUCCACGAACUUGCCAAGAAUUCUGGGAUCAACUCUAUUUCCAUAAAACAGGAAGAGAGAAAAGGAAAAUUAUAAGGCCCCUUGGGGUCACUGGAUUUUGCACCAUCAGAUACAUUUUGAUAUUAGAAGAUAAAGAGAUUGGCCCGAAACUGGGAUGGAGGAGAAGCAGCCAAAGAGUUGUUCUGUUUCUUAAGUUACUUUGAAGGUUGUACACUUUUAAUAUUCAUUUUGAGGAAUAAAUAAUUUAGACAUCCAAUUAAAUAC